GACGGAAGGUGCAAGCGUUGCUCGGAAUCACUGGGCGUAAAGGGUGCGUAGGCGGCCGUGCAAGUCUGGCGUGAAAGCCCCGGGCUCAGCCCGGGAAGUGCGCUCGGAACUGCGCGGCUCGAGUGCCGGAGGGGAGAGUGGAAUUCCUGGUGUAGCGGUGAAAUGCGUAGAGAUCGGGAAGAACGCCAAGGGCGAAGGCACUCUGCUAGGCCUGAUUUCGCGACUGACACUCAGGGACGAGAGCCAGGGGAGCGAAUGGG
rnacentral:rRNA from 1 species